rnacentral:sRNA from 1 species
ACGAGGCCUUUUGGGAGCUCACUAGCUUCGGGUUCCAUUAGAACUCCAAAGUUAAGCGAGUUCACGCGAGAGCAAUCCCAUGAUGGGUGACCCAUUAGGUAGUUCUCGUGUGCCCAUGGGUGAGGAUCUUGUAAGCCUUAUAUGUAUAUUCUCAUCUCUACCUAGCACAAGAUCUUUUGAGAGCUCACUAGCUUCAAGUUCCAUCGAAACUCCGAAGUUAAGCGAGUUCGCGCGAGAGCAAUCCUAGGAUGGGUGACCCAUUGGGAAGUUCUUGUGUGAGUUUCC